rnacentral:rRNA from 1 species
GACGAACGCUGGCGGCGUGCUUAACACAUGCAAGUCGAACGGAAAGGCCCUGCUUGCAGGGUACUCGAGUGGCGAACGGGUGAGUAACACGUGGGUGAUCUGCCCUGCACUUCGGGAUAAGCCUGGGAAACUGGGUCUAAUACCGGAUAGGAGCCAUUUUUAGUGUGAUGGUUGGAAAGUUUUUUCGGUGUAGGAUGAGCUCGCGGCCUAUCAGCUUGUUGGUGGGGUAAUGGCCUACCAAGGCGGCGACGGGUAGCCGGCCUGAGAGGGUGGACGGCCACAGUGGGACUGAGAUACGGCCCAGACUCCGACGGGAGGCAGCAGUGGGGAAUAUUGCACAAUGGGCGCAAGCCUGAUGCAGCGACGCCGCGGGGGGGAUGACGGCCUUCGGGUUGUAAACUCCUUUCGCUAGGGACGAAGCUUUUUGUGACGGUACCUAGAUAAGAAGCACCGGCUAACUACGUG